AGAUGGGCUGUCUGUGGAUCAUAGAAAAAGUUCUGGAGAUGGUGAAGAGAUGUCCAAGCAGAAUUGCCACAACCUUUGAUGGCAAGAAGCAGCUUAAGUUGUAGAAUCUUGGGCCUUUCUUCUGACCACUGUAAGCAUCAAGAGAACAAGAGAUGACCCAUAAGUUGGCCCAAAUGGACCGGUAGCCAAUGAGAAUGUCAGCCCUUCCAUAAGCCCGUCUCCGCAGAGCUACAGGCAUUUUCAGGCCUCAUCUAGCCUCCUCAUGGGGAAAGAGGAUCCUCAAAGAACUUACAGUCUAGAAUAAGAGGCAGACACAGAAAUAGAAAAUUUCAAGAUCAAAGAAUAAAGACUGAGAACAAUUCCAGAUAUUUGGACAUGAUCUUGAUGAGCCUUCGCCUUGCUUUUCUUCUGAAGAAUAUGGAGAAACUGAGGUUUAGCAACACUCAGUGUAACUUGCUGAAGGUGACAGAUCUGACCUCCUCUGUUUGCUCUCUCGGGAACCGUGGGGAACUCUCUGGUGUCCGUGCCUUCCCCUCUGGCUGGGCGUCCUUCUGCCCCUCCUCGUCUGCAAUCUCUUCCUCACCUCUCAAACCACAGCUCCAAUGGCCCCUUCCUAAGAGGGCUUCCCUGAGCUCCCUGGGUGCUGACUAUACCUGUCACAGAACUUUGCAGUAACUCAAACACAGUUCUCAGCAUGCUUGUCUGCCAGGGUUUCUAAGCCGAAGGGCAAAUGAGA